GAUUCUGCCAAAUGUCCAGAAUUCCCUAUUGCAGUUGAUGCUAUGGCAUUCUUCUUAGAGUUUGACUAGUUUUAUGCACUAUUCAUUCCAAAGCAAAGUAGGAUCAUAAGUUUCUUGAUGAUGGAACGUAUACCUUUAAGUCAGCAUAAUAGAGACAAAACACAGGAUGAGACAGAAAGGAGAAGAGUCAGGAUAAGAGUCUUGCAGGUAGGUAAGGAAGAAAAGUUUAUUUUUUUCUACCUUUUAGGGACUAUGUAUAAGAGAUAUGACAGCAGCUAUGGUGUAUGAGGAAAAC
rnacentral:lncRNA from 12 species